UACGUAGGGGGCAAGCGUUGUCCGGAUUCAUUGGGCGUAAAGGGUGCGUAGGUGGCGCUGUAAGUCGGGUGUGAAAUUUCGGAGCUUAACUCCGAAACUGCAUUCGAUACUGCGGUGCUUGAGGACUGGAGAGGAGACUGGAAUUCAUGGUGUAGCAGUGAAAUGCGUAGAGAUCAUGAGGAAGACCAGUGGCGAAGGCGGGUCUCUGGACAGUUCCUGACGCUGAGGCACGAAGGUCAGGGGAGCAAACGGG
rnacentral:rRNA from 1 species